rnacentral:rRNA from 1 species
UACGUAGGCAGCGAGCGUUGUUCGGAGUUACUGGGCGUAAAGGGUGUGUAGGCGGUUGUUUAAGUUUGGUGGGAAAUCUCCCGGCUCAAAUGGGAGGGUGCGCCGAAUACUGAAUGACUUCGAGUGCGGGAGAGGAGAGUGGAAUUCCUGGUGUAGCGGUGAAAUGCGUAGAUAUCUGGAGGAAUACCGGUGACGAAGGCGGCAUCCUGGACCGAGAUUGACACUAAAGCGCGAAAGCCAGGGGAGCAAACGGG